AAGAAAAGACAUGGACCCAUCAUUUCUUGCCUGUAUACACAUGAAAUCAGAGGCCUUGGGACCUUAAGUCCAGCUGUCUGCUAUGAAUGCACAGGUCUUUUAGAGCACGAAGGAGCCAAUGCUACCUAGUUCAUCCUGUGCUUAGCUGCUAAUUAGGAGUUUUUAGGAUGUACAAUUUGAGGUGUUACCAAUUAGCUCAAUUGUGGACCAAGACCAGAGCUGUUAUUUGCUUUGUCACAGCAAUUGAAAGCCAAAUAAACAAAUACUAGUGUCUUUUUCCCCUGUGCUUUAGAACAGCCGUGAAACAAAAUAAUAAUUUCAUUGUCUACUUUUCAAAACUCUACAUUUAAAGCAGAUCAUAAAAAUCCCCACAUGGUUUAUUUUGUGUAAUUACUAAAAAAAUCAGGCUUUGAAUCCCAGAAGAAAAACUAUAUGUUACUUAAAAAAAAAAAAAAGAAACCAGCAAAACAAAACAAACACACACAUACGAAACCAAACACACACACAAGAAAAAUAAAGAAGGCAGAUGAAUGAGCAAAAUAUGCUAGAGUUUGUCCUUCUGUUGUUUAUGAUCGGGAGUUUUGAAGCAGGCUAUGGGAGACAAGUGCUUGAAGCCCACAUGACUUCAGGGGGUCUUAGUACCUUUUUUCUGUGGCUCUACUAAAACUGAGUGUCAAAAAACCAACCAACCAAAAACUGUUUGCAGAGAAAUAGAAGAAAUUUAAAGCUUUUUUUUUUUUUUUUUAAACUCUCUUCAACUUUGGAUUUUGUUUUCAGUUUUCCCAGGAAGCCACCUACCAUACAGCUUGGGAUAGCUUGCUUGUGCUGUAAACUCUUCUGACAGCCUGGGCCCUCAGAGGCUCUGCUCAGCAGGAGGAGUGAACGACUGCAAGGACAGGAGCCGUGAUUGUGGGCAUGAGGUGAAGCAGGAAAAAGCAAAGUGAAGUAUCUCAAAUGCUGGACAGAGGAUUGUUGCUGGAGCUGAAGCUGUGGGAUGACUAACAUAGAUUUCACAGCUCUCGGCGAAGACAAUGAGCGUUUAUCCAAGGCUCACUGCAUUUGGCGUGCUCCAUCCCUUCUCCCUCAGUUUAAUCUCACCUGGAUAAGGAUUGCAUCCUUACGCACAGGGAGCUGACCUUCCUGCUCCCAAGGAUGUGUGCAGCUGGAUGCCUGUGGCAUUGUGGCAGCAGAGGAAGUGCUGCUGGGCAGGAAAAUAAACCCCAUCUGCAACGUCGUUGGUAGGCUCUG
rnacentral:lncRNA from 1 species